UCCCUGGUAGUCCAAUGGCUAAGACUCUGCUCUCCCAAUGCAGGGGGCCCAGGUUCAAUCCCUAGUCAGGGAA
rnacentral:tRNA from 1 species